AUACGUAGGUGACAAGCGUUAUCCGGAUUUACUGGGCGUAAAGGGCGUGUAGGCGGUCUUGCAAGUCAGAAGUGAAAUUCCUGAGCUCAACUCGGGCGCUGCUUCUGAAACUGCAGGACUUGAGUGCUGGAGGGGAUAGCGGAAUUCCUAGUGGAGCGGUAAAAUGCGCAGAUAUUAGGAAGAACACCGGUGGCGAAGGCGGCUAUCUGGACAGUAACUGACGCUGAGGGGCGAAAGCGUGGGGAGCAAACAGGAUUAGAUCCCCUGGUAGUCCACGCUGUAAACGAUGAAUACUAGGUGUAGGGGGUAUCGACUCCCUCUGUGCCGCAGUUAACACAAUAAGUAUUCCGCCUGGGGGGUACGGCCGCAAGGUUGAAACUCAAAGGAAUUGACGGGG
rnacentral:rRNA from 1 species